rnacentral:rRNA from 1 species
UACGUAGGGUGCAAGCGUUAUCCGGAAUCACUGGGCGUAAAGGGCGCGUAGGCGGGAAUGUAAGUCGGGCGUGAAAUCCCUAGGCUCAACCUAGGAACUGCACUCGAAACUGCGUUUCUUGAGUAUCGGAGAGGAAAGCGGAAUUCCUGGUGUAGAGGUGAAAUUCGUAGAUAUCAGGAGGAACACCAGUGGCGAAGGCGGCUUUCUGGACGGUAACUGACGCUGAGGCGCGAAAGCGUGGGGAGCAAACAGG